rnacentral:misc_RNA from 1 species
AGUGAGCUCAAAGGAAAAGCUGACAAUGGACUCACUACAAGGAUCUAGCCAGGUAUCACCUGAGCAUUUGAAAUCGAUGAAGUCCGCAAUUCACUCAUUCCUACAGGAGACCGGUGUUUACGACUCUAUACGCGACAUUGUUGAUACGUAUGUCUCAGAGCACGGCGAUGAGGCCGACUCCAGCGAAAACCCAAGCGCCAUCAUGCGAAUUGUGAAAGAAAAAGGAAUAUUACAGGAGCUUGUCAGCCAAAUUCAGUCUCGUUCUACUGUAGGCGCGGUACCUUCCAUCACCGUACCGAGUGAUGGCCGGCACUACCUUCUUGUUCGAGUGAAUGGCGGACGCGCUUUUGUAGACAACCUCGACCUAGCCCCCUCGACUGUGAGCAAGCGUUCUGUCGUCUUCGCUGCUCACUUUGGUAACCAGAGGUUCCGCUCUGCAGUAAAGCCGUGCUCUGCCGAACCAAAGUUUGAUGAAGAGUUUCUCUUUGAAGUGGACGCCACUGGGUUCGGGUUUGGCGAGGCGGAUCUUAUCGAAGUCUCAACCCCUUUUCACAUUGCCGUCCUGCGAGAAGAUUCACAGCUCAACGUCGCUGAGCUGCUGGGCGAGAAUAUCAUAGAAUGGAGAAAGGUCCUAAAAAGCGGUUACCUAGGGCUCACGGUGGAACUCUGUGGCAGAAACGCUGGGGUACCAGCAGGUAUUGUAGAUCUACAGCUCGAGUUGGUGUCGAAAAAGCGCAUUCGGUACAAGGAGGAGGAUAUUGUGUCGCGUGUGGAGCAGCAGCGUAUUGCCGUCACCAACGCUGACCGCGAGUUCCUCGUGUACUCUCGGCGAUGGUGGUCAGAGUAUCAGGGUUUACGCCCCACACACAAAGAUCGAAAGGUACGACUAUUUGCAUCCACGUCAACUGGAAGGAUGGUGCCACUGACCCACUUCGUUUCGCCAAUACAAGCAGAGUUCGGCCUCGACUCACCGCAGGAUGCCGCGCGUUUUGUCUCGCUGCUGCGCGUCACUGCCGAGGGCACCGGCUCCAUAGGGGCGUUGAGCCUUGAAGAAAGUAGCUGGCUAUCGCCUUUUAUUUUUCUUUCGCAGAGGCAAGGCUACCACUGCAACCACGCUGCCCUUCUUUGCUCUCUUUUACUGGGGUUUGGUAUCGAUGCUUACUGCGCUCUUGGGUCUUGCCACAACGGCGAAGUCGGGGUUUUUGUCGUCUCCAGGUCUACCGAUGCGCGUGGCUCAGCCAAGGUCACGGUGUGGAACCCCACGUCAGGUGAGCGGUCUUCGCCGAGUGAGCAGGAUACAUUCGCUACCGUUGACUGCAUGUUCAACAACAAAUCUUUUUUUGCCAAUUGCCAAGCCUCGAACAACAUCGCUACCACAUCGUUUGAGUGCUACAAUGAAGAACUCUGGAAGCCACUGAACGUGCUGAAACUGAGAAUGGUGCCAAGGUACCCUUCUGCACCACUCUUGUUUGAAACUGUCGCUGCGUCGCCGAUCGAGCGCUCACUGGAGAUUCAGCUGAGGGCGGCGAUUUCGACGUACCGCGACUCCUUUGGUGUGGUGACGACGUAUGACGACACGGUUUCGUACGUGCUGUCGCAGGCGCUGCUACUGUACGAACGUCAGCAGAGUGAGGGCGGCGCCCAGAGUUUCGCCCUUUUUCAAGAAUCUGUGAAGGGCACCCUAGGGGUGGGGAAAACGUUCAAGGCUAUUCCGCUGAACGUUUCGUACCUCGACGCCGGCAGCGUUAUGGACGUUGUGCGCGCUGCUUCGGUGGGAAGAGAGAUUUUGGAUACGGUGGUGGACAGCGCCAAAUUUGGAGUGCGCGCCAAGGUAUUCUGCUUCCCAGAACGUGUCUUCUCUGUUUGGGUGAUGAUUGCGGUAAACUACAGUGCAGCCAGCAUUUCAUAGCUGACUUUUUGCAUUGCCUGUAUCGCUUUGUGUAUUGUUUCGCCGUGGAUCUCUGCAUAUCUUUUUACUGACUGGCUCAUAGACUGCGUACCAUGGCUUUGUAUAC